rnacentral:rRNA from 1 species
GAUUUUGCCUUCGGGUACAAUUGAGACAGGUGGUGCAUGGUUGUCGUCAGCUCGUGUCGUGAGAUGUUGGGUUAAGUCCCGCAACGAGCGCAACCCUUGUGUUUAGUUGCAAACAGGUCAAGCUGUGCACUCUAGACAGACUGCCGUGGACAACACGGAGGAAGGUGGGGAUGACGUCAAAUCAUCAUGCCCCUUAUGAUCUGGGCUACACACGUGCUACAAUGGCCGGUACAACGGGCAGCGAAGGAGCGAUCCGGAGCGAAUCCUAAAAAGCCGGUCCCAGUUCGGAUUGCAGGCUGAAACUCGCCUACAUGAAGUUGGAGUUGCUAGUAAUCGCGAAUCAGAAUGUCGCGGUGAAUGCGUUCCCGGGUCUU